rnacentral:rRNA from 1 species
UACGUAGGCAGCAAGCGUUGUUCGGAAUUACUGGGCGUAAAGCGUGUGUAGGCGGCGCUCUAAGUUCGGUGUGAAAUCUCCCGGCUUAACUGGGAGGGUGCGCCGGAAACUGGAGUGCUCGAGCGUGGGAGAGGAAAGCGGAAUUCCUGGUGUAGCGGUGAAAUGCGUAGAUAUCAGGAGGAACACCUGCGGUGUAGACGGCUUUCUGGACCAUUGCUGACGCUGAGACACGAAAGCGUGGGUAGCAAACAGG